CAGUAGCCGCGGUAAUACAGAGGGUGCGAGCGUUAAUCGGAUUUACUGGGCGUAAAGCGUGCGUAGGCGGCUUUUUAAGUCGGAUGUGAAAUCCCUGAGCUUAACUUAGGAAUUGCAUUCGAUACUGGGAAGCUAGAGUAUGGGAGAGGAUGGUAGAAUUCCAGGUGUAGCGGUGAAAUGCGUAGAGAUCUGGAGGAAUACCGAUGGCAAAGGCAGCCAUCUGGCCUAAUACUGACGCUGAGGUACGAAAGCAUGGGGAGCAAACAGGAUUAGAUACCCCCGUAGUCCCUGUCUCUUAUAC
rnacentral:rRNA from 1 species